rnacentral:rRNA from 1 species
CCUACGGGGGGCUGCAGUCGAGAAUCAUUCACAAUGGGGGAAACCCUGAUGGUGCGACGCCGCGUGGGGGAAUGAAGGUCUUCGGAUUGUAAACUCCUGUCAUGUGGGAGCAAAUUAAAAUGCUUGUACCACAAGAGGAAGAGACGGCUAACACUGUGCCAGCAGCCGCGGUAAUACAGAGGUCUUAAGCGUUGUUCGGAAUCACUGGGCGUAAAGCGUUCGUAGGCUGUUUCGUAAGUCGUGUGUGAAAGGCGCGGGCUUAACCCGCGAACGGCACAUGAUACUGUGGGACUAGAGUAAUGGAGCGGGAACCGGAAUUCUCGGUGUAGCAGUGAAAUGCGUAGAUAUC